AUGAAGGGUUGGGGGGCUAACCUAGGCCGGGACCUAAGAGAGCGCAAGAAGUCCAUCUUGACCGCCAUUCAAGCUCUGGAUGCGCGUGCGGACUCGACUGGGCUCUCCCCGGACGAGUGGCUGCUUCGCUACGACCUGGAGGAUCAACUUUCCUUCAUCUACACAGAUGAGGAGGCUUACUGGCGCGUGAGGGGAACUCAGAGAUGGGUGCUUCAGGGCGACGCCAACACCGCCUACUUCCAGGCGAUUGCGAACGGCCGGCGCCGCCGCAACUCCAUCCACUGCCUGUGGGAUGGAGGCACACAGCUAGUGCGGCCUGAGGCCAUCCGCCUCCAUGUGGAUGGCUUCUAUAGGGAUCUUUUUACCCCCCCCGUGGUGGGGUGUGCCUCGCCCCCGACAUUUGGUCGGGCGCGUUAG
rnacentral:rRNA from 1 species